rnacentral:rRNA from 1 species
GAUGAACGCUGGCGGCGUGCCUAAUACAUGCAAGUCGAGCGAACAGACGAGGAGCUUGCUCCUCUGACGUUAGCGGCGGACGGGUGAGUAACACGUGGAUAACCUACCUAUAAGACUGGGAUAACUUCGGGAAACCGGAGCUAAUACCGGAUAAUAUAUUGAACCGCAUGGUUCAAUAGUGAAAGACGGUUUUGCUGUCCCUUAUAGAUGGAUCCGCGCCGCAUUAGAUAGUUGGUAAGGUAACGGCUUACCAAGGCAACGAUGCGUAGCCGACCUGAGAGGGUGAUCGGCCACACUGGAACUGAGACACGGUCCAGACUCCUACGGGAGGCAGCAGUAGGGAAUCUUCCGCAAUGGGCGAAAGCCUGACGGAGCAACGCCGCGUGAGUGAUGAAGGUCUUCGGAUCGUAAAACUCUGUUAUUAGGGAAGAACAAAUGUGUAAGUAACUAUGCACGUCUUGACGGUACCUAAUCAGAAAGCCACGGCUAACUACGUG